GUUUCGCGUCGGAUAGCCGCGCCGAGGCCGCAAGUUUUACAGCUUAUGGCAUCGGUGAGGAAAGUCCGAACACGCUCCGGGGAAAAUAAAGCUUUUUGGCUUUUUUCACGGGAAGAAUGGUAGCGGGUAACGCCCGUCGUCAGGCCCCGUCUUUGGACAGAGCUUGACAGAGGUGCGAACAGAGACGCUGUGUCCCGAAAGGGAUACGGGCGCUUUGAAAGAAGCGUAGCCAAGCUCUGUCUUUAGAUAGAGUUUGGGUGAAACGGCCAAAUCCUUACCUGCGUGCAAGGCCGUGUCGAGCCCCGGCUUGCCGGGGCUCGGAGUGCCGCUAGAGGUGGCCGGCAACGACCAUCCCAGACAAAUGGCUAUCGUCAAACCCCGGCUUGCCGGGACUUGAUACAGAAUUCGGCUUAUAGACGCGAAACGACA
rnacentral:RNase_P_RNA from 2 species